AUUGAACGCUGGCGGCAGGCCUAACACAUGCAAGUCGAACGAAGUCUUCGGACUUAGUGGCGGACGGGUGAGUAACACGUGGGAACGUGCCUUUAGGUUCGGAAUAACUCAGGGAAACUUGUGCUAAUACCGAAUGUGCCCUUCGGGGGAAAGAUUUAUCGCCUUUAGAGCGGCCCGCGUCUGAUUAGCUAGUUGGUGGGGUAAUGGCCCACCAAGGCUACGAUCAGUAGCUGGUCUGAGAGGAUGACCAGCCACAUUGGGACUGAGACACGGCCCAAACUCCUACGGGAGGCAGCAGUGGGGAAUCUUGCGCAAUGGGCGAAAGCCUGACGCAGCCAUGCCGCGUGGAUGAUGAAGGUCUUAGGAUUGUAAAAUCCUUUCACCGGUGAAGAUAAUGACUGUAGCCGGAGAAGAAGCCCCGGCUAACUACGUGCCAGCAGCCGCCGUAAGAC
rnacentral:rRNA from 1 species